CUGUUCCAAACUGUGAGGAAGUUCAAAGCAGAUGUGUCCAAGAGAAACCCAACUGUCCACAUAGUUGGCUGUCAUCUGUUCCUGCAGCUUUACGUACUAGAUAGUCUUGAUCUAGGCGUUCUAAACAUGUUGCGAGGUGUAACACCGCGGAUAGGUCUGUACAACUAUGAUGCGAUGAAGAAGAUGGUGGAAAAAAAUUACAGUCAAUGUUGGUGCGGGUGAAGUUUCCUUCCACGGUGCAACGGUACGGACCGAGCUGUCAGUGAGCAAUCUAAUUGGCUUCCCUUCUAAGGAAUGUCCCACAGCAAAGCCAGCAAAGCCGGCACCGGCUCCCAAGAGGGGAAACGCCACAUGCACGCCGAUGUUGCGAAGUAGUUAUGCCAAAACUGGUCCGCAGGAGUUUUCAAAUUACAUACGAACACGCUACCCAAGUAUAUCAGCGCAGAAGCUUGGUAUACUUCUACGGGAGCAGAAUGCUCGCGGCCUAGCAAACAUAUCAAAAAUGCGUCAAGCAUUCCAGUCCAAUAUGUUUAAUUUCACAGACAAGCUUAUGUCAUGCUUAGCAGAGAGUUGCACUUGUUGUAAGGCACAUGGCAACAAAAAAUGCAUCUUGGAAAACGAAGGAACAAAUACUUGCGACCCCCCCCUCAUGUAUCAACAGAUCAAACUCAAUUCUGCACGCCGUUAGCCAGCAAGAUUGGACCCCGACU